rnacentral:rRNA from 1 species
AUUGAACGCUGGCGGCAGGCCUAACACAUGCAAGUCGAGCGGAGCGGCAGACGGGUGAGUGAUGCCUAGGACUCUGCCUGGUAGUGGUGGAUAACGUCCGGAAACGGACGCUGAUACCGCUUCCUAUCAGAUGAGCCUAGGCCGGAUUAGCUGGUGGGUGAGGGAAAGGCUCACCAAGGCGACGAUCGGUAGCUGGUCUGAGAGGACGACCAGCCACACUGGGACGGAGACACGGCCCAGACUCCUACGGGAGGCAGCAGUGGGGAAUUUUGGACAAUGGGGGCAAGCCUGAUGCAGCCAUGCCGCGUGCAGGAUGAAGGUCUUCGGAUUGUAAACUGCUUUUGUCAGGGAAGCGGUACCUGAAGAAUAAGCACCGGCUAACUACGUGCCAGCAGCCGCGGUAAUUC